rnacentral:rRNA from 1 species
CCUACGGGCGGCAGCAGUGAGGAAUAUUGGUCAAUGGGCGCAAGCCUGAACCAGCCAAGUCGCGUGAGGGAUGACGGUCCUAUGGAUUGUAAACCUCUUUUGUCGGGGAGCAAGGCCCGGCACGUGUGGCGGGAAGGAGAGUACCCGAAGAAAAAGCAUCGGCUAACUCCGGGCCAGCAGCCGCGGUAAUACGGAGGAUGCGAGCGUUAUCGGGAUUUAUGGGGUUUAAAGGGUGCGUAGGCGUAAGGUUAAGUCAGCGGUAAAAUGUCGGUGCUCAACACCGGCCUGCCGUUGAAACUGGUCUUCUUCAGUGCGCGAGAAGUAUGCGGAAUGCGUGGUGUAGCGGUGAAAUGCAUAGAUAUCACGCAGAACUCCGAUUGCGAAGGCAGCAUACCGGCGCUCAACUGACGCUGAGGCACGAAAGCGUGGGGAUCGAACAGGAUUAGAUACCCCAGUAGUC